CAGGCCUAACACAUGCAAGUCGAACGAGACCUUCGGGUCUAGUGGCGCACGGGUGCGUAACGCGUGGGAAUCUGCCCUUGGGUUCGGAAUAACUCGCCGAAAGGCGUGCUAAUACCGGAUGAUGACGUAAGUCCAAAGAUUUAUCGCCCAAGGAUGAGCCCGCGUAGGAUUAGCUAGUUGGUGAGGUAAGAGCUCACCAGGGCGACGAUCCUUAGCUGGUCUGAGAGGAUGAUCAGCCACACUGGGACUGAGACACGGCCCAGACUCCUACGGGAGGCAGCAGUGGGGAAUAUUGGACAAUGGGCGAAAGCCUGAUCCAGCAAUGCCGCGUGAGUGAUGAAGGCCUUAGGGUUGUAAAGCUCUUUUACCCGGGAUGAUAAUGACAGUAUCGGGAGAAUAAGCUCCGUCUAACUUGGUGCCAGCAGCCGCGGA
rnacentral:rRNA from 1 species